CAGUGAGGAAUAUUGAGCAAUGGGCGCAAGCCUGACUCAGCAACGCCGCGUGGAUGAAGAAGGCCUUCGGGUUGUAAAAUCCUUUUCUGGGGGAAGAUAAUGACGGUACCCCAGGAAUAAGUUCCGGCUAACUACGUGCCAGCAGCCGCGGUAAAACGUAGGGGACGAGCGUUAUCCGGAUUUACUGGGCGUAAAGCGCAUGUAGGUGGCUUGAAAAGUUGGACGUGAAAGCUCCCGGCUUAACUGGGAGAGGUCGUUCAAAACUGGCAAGCUUGAGGUUGGAAGAGGAGAGCGGAAUUCCCGGUGUAGUGGUGGAAUGCGUAGAUAUCGGGAGGAACACCAGUGGCGAAAGCGGCUCUCUGGUUCAAUACUGACACUGAGAUGCGAAAGCGUGGGGAGCGAACGGGAUUAGAUACCCCGGUAGUCCACGCUGUAAACGAUGGAUACUAGGUGUAGGCGGUCAUUAACCCCGUCUGUGCCGAAGCCAACGCGUUAAGUAUCCCGCCUGGGGACUACGGCCGCAAGGUUA
rnacentral:rRNA from 1 species